UGAUGGAUACUUUUCAAUCCCAGAAGCCCACGGGUGAUCAAUAUGUCAUUAUCGAACGUGAUGGAGAACAGCGACGAGGCUGUUUACAAAUGACAGAUGAGACACACGUGUGUUUAUCCGCUGAAGAGUGACUGAUGGAGGAAUGCUGCCAUCAAAGGCUUUGAAGCUUUUGUGGUGGAGCAGGUGACAGCGGCAUUUGUGGGGGGAAAAAGGAAAACCUGAAACAAUAAUAUAAAGAGCUGAAAUGUCUACGGACGGGGACCCCAAUCCCCCUGCAGCAGCUCGGAGUAAAGACACCGGUGGUGACGACUGCGUUGAUCGAACCAGCAACCUUCUGCUGACCAAUUCAUUACACCACAAAAGUAAUUGUUCUCAUAGAGAGCAGGCACACAGAUGUUUGGAGCACACACAGCAGCAGCCAGAUUGUCCCGCACGCGUUCUUCUGCUCUUGUUCAAGAUUGUGUGGUACGGGGAGCCUCAUCCUCUCUGUGCUCUCAGACAAUGAUAGCCUUGAUGUCCCUCUCUCAUCCAUGAUCAGAUUCAGUGUGACUGCAGCAGUGAGGGGGGUGAUGGACAGCAGAGACAGGUGAAGGUGGACGCGGUGGUCAGCUGCUUCAUCAGAAUAAAGCUGUAGAACUGGCACAGCUGUGUUGAGAUGGCAGUAGGAUGUGGGCUCACCGUCUGUAAAUACAUGAUUGUUAGAACAAUAUGUUUGGAUAAAGCUUUGUUUCAUGUGUUGUUGACUUGUAUUUAUUUAUUGUCAUGGUUACUUUUAUUUACAUUUUAAUCAUUUAUUCAU